UCCUACCUCUUCACCCUCGCCUUAGGAAAACCGGCUCCUCUCUUUUGUAUUGUCUGUGCUGAAAAUCCAACUGAGCCCCGCCAUAACUCCAAAAUUUUUCUUUCCGGUUGAUUUUGCUCCCUGGCAUGCCAUCUCCCCUUUCCUCUGCUAUUUUAUGCUUAGAGUGACUCCUCAGGACUGAGCCCCACCUGCCCUCAGGACCCAUUUCUGUUCUGCACGGGGCCUGCUCAGCUGGACACUUUAUACACUCAAAAGGAGGCCCUGCUACCUGAAGGUACAGACACUCAGACGUUCAGGUGAGUCUGAAUUCUCUGUAUCUGGGGGGGACUUUGGAAAAUUAAAGCCAAGAGGCUCCAUCAGGAGAAUCAUUGGGCAAAAGAGAAGAAAGUGAGCUGUGGAAAAUGCCACAGUCACUAGAAGUUGAUCAUCCACUUCCUCCAGGGCUAAAGGGACUGAACCUGCGGCAUUUCUACCAGAUCCCCAACCAGUUCAGGGUUUUCUUGAUCCCUGAUUUCCAGGGAUCUCAGUAAGUCUCCCUGAUAAUGGGAAUAGGUGUGCUGAGUUGGGUGCUAAUCAGUUAAGUUCCAUGAUUGCAGUUCUGUCUGGUUUCAUGGAAAUUUACCCAAUUAAAGGAACAGGGGGCUGGUUGGCUUUUCAGUCCUGGGCUGGAGGGUACAGUGCUAACAGGAGAUUCUUCAGUUCUUGGGUCCAAGUCGGUUUCAUUAGGAAGUUAUUUAAGGCACAGUCCUGAAGGCAGUUAGACAGCACAGGAGGGGAGUCAAUGGAUGAACAUACUCUGUAGCCAAAUACAUGUGUGGUUUGCUCCUCUGAGCAACCCCCACACUGCAAAUGACCAAGGCAGAGGUCACCGGGACAUCAAGUUGGUGAAGCAGUACUGGGCAGAAGAAUCUUGGCUGAGGGAUGGGACCCAGAGUGGGUCAAGGCUCUGGAUACAGAUUCUAGCUCAUCUUUUCCCAUCUCUAUUUUGUAGCUAGAGGUCUGUAGGGCAAGGAGAGGGUGAUAAGGGAAGGGCCUGCCUUUUCUGGGCUCUCUGAUAUCAGUGCUACCUCCUAUUUGCACAGCCUUUCACAGUUAAAGUGCUUAUACAGACUCUGUCGUCGAUGGAGUAGCCACCACGGAGGUUAAGGAGCCCGUAUGAGGGUGAUGCUGUUUGCACACUCCGAUUGAGGACUGAAGAUCUGGUGGACCGUGCAUGUUAGGAGGGGUAAGAGUGGGGUAAGGAGGGUCUGGAGGGAGUGGAAUCAUCCCUUGUGCUCUCUGGGUUGGGCUGAAAUCCAGAGAGAAAGCAAAGAAUCCUUCCAUCCCAGAACUAUUUCCUCCCGUCUUCUGCCAUCAUUUAGCAGGGCCAAAUAGGUCAGUCCCUUUUCUCCUUUGACUAGAAAAUGGUUCAAAGGCAGUGCAGAGGGACUACAUUGACUAGAUCACUCACAAGCAGGGCGUGCUUCUCUCUCAUCACUGAGAACCCUGAGUGUUAACAAAGAAGGUGGCUGGGAGAGGAUGGGUCAGCCUCCCUCCUCCCAGUACUCAGAUCUGCACUCCCAGCCCACCCCAGGGUCCCCCUGACCAAGGAAAGUCUGGCCCUGCCUCAGCGGUAGCUGGAAGCCCGGGCCCUGGUUGAAGAGCCUCUUUGAGAUGCCCAGUGCCCAGGGGCUUGGAUGGAGGGGGAGGGGAGCCACAGUCUAAGCCGCUACCUCCCUGCUUCGGGUCAGAACAAGCCCCAGGAAGAAAGUAUUUCAAACAACAGGGUGGAUCUGCCCUAACUCACCCAGUCUGCAAGUCAGUGCUGAGAACAGCCUUUUACGGGCUUACACGGAGCCCAGGGCAUGUCUGGACGCAGCGAGGAAAGGGGUGGGGCAGGAACUACAAGGCAACGGGCGGAUGGCAUUUCUUCAGGAGGACGCGGAGCUCCCAGGGUUGCCAUCCCCUCGGUUUAGUUCAGUCCCUGAGAGCAGGUGACGGCUUUUGUUCCCACAUCCCUGUAUCCUCGAACCCCCAAAAGAUGUUAGAGGUGCCAUUUCCAGGCAGGUUUGGGAAAGGAUGUGAGGUCACCCAAAAGUGGCCAACCUAGCUGAGUCUGUAGGAGCGAGACCAAGGACACUCGCCCUCCUGUGCCCAUCCCAGCCCCCAUGAGUGUGCCUAGCCGCAGCUGGCUGCUCUUCUCCCUGUUUCACGCCCACAAAUGGGCCUGCAAUGGGCUGUUCAUGCUCUUUGGACAGUGCAUUCUGGAGAGGAACACCUCCACCCCUGCUUCCACCACCUGGGUAAGCAAGAGCACAAUAGAUGGAUUUUCUGAAGCAGGUUCAGAACACCCACCUUCUGCAGCCAGGACCAAGCUCGGCUAUGGCACACGCAGCGGGACACAGACAUGGGGAGGCCAGCCUGCAUCCCAGCCAGGUAGACGCAGAGACGUGUCCACAGGGACUUGAGUGGAAUGGCUGCUUCAAGGGAGACCAACAGCAAGGGCCGGAGCACCAUCCCCACCCCUCAGCACCCUCGGUGCCGCAGGCCUGGUGGGGACGGUUCUUGGUGAGCUGGUUCUCUUGGCUCCUGGAGGAAGUGAUCCUGGAGAGGGUGUGAGUACUCGGGUCUCCCACACCUCCCAAGUCUGUGAUUCAAAGAUCCUGAAGGCUUCUGGCCAAGCAACAGCCCUGUGGGCAGAGGCUGGGGCUGCCACGUGGCCCACCCUCUGAGAUCAAGACCUCAGAUAGUCCAUGUGUUUCUCUUGUCCUUCAUUCCACCGGAGUCUGUCUCGUACCCACCCAGAUUUCAGUGGAGUGAAGCUCAGGAGGCGUGGAACUGACACCGGAGCUGCCCGCAGGAGUAGGUCUGACUUGGAAAAGGAAAGGCUCAGUGAGAGGUGCAGACACCUUGUAUGUGUGCCCGGCUGCACAGGGGACUGGGCCAGCGGUGGACAGGGGAAAGCACCGCAGAUGGGAUCUGCCAGUUACUUCUGAAAUGGACAUGGGUGUUUUCUGUAACUCACAAAAAUUAAAAGCUGCCUGUUUCUGCGA